rnacentral:rRNA from 1 species
CCUACGGGGUGCAGCAGUGGGGAAUAUUGGACAAUGGGCGAAAGCCUGAUCCAGCCAUGCCGCGUGUGUGAAGAAGGCCUUCGGGUUGUAAAGCACUUUCAGUGGGGAAGAAAGCCUUGGGGCUAAUACCCUCGAGGAAGGACAUCACCCACAGAAGAAGCACCGGCUAACUCCGUGCCAGCAGCCGCGGUAAUACGGAGGGUGCGAGCGUUAAUCGGAAUUACUGGGCGUAAAGCGCGCGUAGGCGGUCUGAUAAGCCGGUUGUGAAAGCCCCGGGCUCAACCUGGGAACGGCAUCCGGAACUGUCAGGCUAGAGUGCAGGAGAGGAAGGUAGAAUUCCCGGUGUAGCGGUGAAAUGCGUAGAGAUCGGGAGGAAUACCAGUGGCGAAGGUGGCCUUCUGGACUGACACUGACGCUGAGGUGCGAAAGCGUGGGUAGCAAACAGGAUUAGAUACCCCAGUAGU